GCAAGUCGAACGAUCGCAAGAUAGUGGCGCACGGGUGAGGAACACGUAGCUAACCUGCCUUCGGGUCUGGGAUAACGUCGCGAAAGUGACGCUAAGACCGGAUAAGCUCCCGGGUUGUAGAGACCAGAGAGAAAAGGGGCAAGACGCCUGAAGAGGGGGCUGCGGCGCAUCAGCUAGUUGGUGGGGUAAAGGCCUACCAAGGCAACGACGCGUAAGGGGUCUGAGAGGAUGAUCCCUCACACUGGGACUGAGACACGGCCCAGACUCCUACGGGAGGCAGCAGUGAGGAAUAUUGCACAAUGGGGGCAACCCUGAUGCAGCGACGCCGCGUGGGUGAUGACGGCCUUCGGGUUGUAAAGCCCUUUUGCCAUUGACGAGAACGGACGGUAGAUGGCGAAUAAGCCUCGGCUAACUACGUGCCAGCAGCCGCGGUAAAACGUAGGAGGCGAGCGUUAUCCGGAGUUACUGGGCGUAAAGCGUGCGCAGGCGGUGCCAUAAGUCAGGUGUGAAAGGUUCCGGCUCAACCGGGAAAACGCGCUUGAGACUGUGGGACUAGAGUGGGAUAGAGGGACGUGGAAUUCCGGGUGGAGCGGUGAAAUGUGUAGAGAUCCGGAGGAACACCAGAGGCGCAAGCGGCGUCCUGGGUCCCAACUGACGCUGAGGCACGAAGGCUUGGGGAGCGAACGGGAUUAGAGACCCCGGUAGUCCAAGCCGUAAACGAUGCAGACUCGGUGUCCACUCUCGCAAGGGAGGGGGCGCCACAGCUAACGCGAUAAGUCUGCCGCC
rnacentral:rRNA from 1 species